rnacentral:rRNA from 1 species
UACGUAGGGUGCGAGCGUUGUCCGGAAUUAUUGGGCGUAAAGGGCUCGUAGGCGGUUUGUCGCGUCGGGAGUGAAAACCCAGGGCUUAACCCUGGGCUGGCUUCCGAUACGGGCAGACUAGAGGUAUGCAGGGGAGAACGGAAUUCCUGGUGUAGCGGUGAAAUGCGCAGAUAUCAGGAGGAACACCGGUGGCGAAGGCGGUUCUCUGGGCAUUACCUGACGCUGAGGAGCGAAAGCAUGGGUAGCGAACAGG